CUGGACUUGAUAUGCACAUGACCGCUGCAGAAAUGCAGUUUUCUCGCAAGAGACAUGUGCACAGGUGCUGCAUGGCUGUCGUCAGCUCGUGCCGUGAGGUGUUGGGUUAAGUCCCGCAACGAGCGCAACCCUUGUCGUUAGUUGCCAACAUGUAAUGAUGGGCACUCUAGCGAGACUGCCUAGGUUAACUAGGAGGAAGGUGAGGAUGACGUCAAGUCCGCAUGGCCUUUAUGUCCAGGGCUACACACGUGCUACAAUGGUCGGUACAGAAGGCAGCGAAGCCGCGAGGCGAAGCAAAUCCCCAAAGCCGGCCCCAGUUCAGAUUGGAGUCUGCAACUCGACUCCAUGAAGAUGGAAUUGCUAGUAAUGGCGGGUCAGCAACACCGCCGUGAAUACGUUCCC
rnacentral:rRNA from 1 species